rnacentral:rRNA from 1 species
AGGACGAACGCUGGCGGCGUGCUUAACACAUGCAAGUCGAGCGGAAAGGCCCUUUGGGGUACUCGAGCGGCGAACGGGUGAGUAACACGUGAGUAAUCUGCCCUUCACUCUGGGAUAGCCCUCCGAAAGGGGGAUUAAUACCGGAUACGACCACGUACUGCAUGGUGUGUGGUGGAAACUUUUUGGGUGGGGGAUGUGCUCGCGGCCUAUCAGCUUGUUGGUGGGUAAUGGCCUACCAAGGCUUCGACGGGUAGCCGGCCUGAGAGGGUCGACCGGCCACGACUGGACUGAGACACGGCCCAGACUCCUACGGGAGCAGCAGGUGGGAAUAUGGACAAGUGGGCGAAGCCUGAUCCAGCAACGCCGCGGUGGAAGGAUGGACCGGUCCGUUCGGGUUAGUUAAACC